AUACGUAGGUGGCAAGCGUUGUCCGGAAUUAUUGGGCGUAAAGCGCGCGCAGGUGGUUCCUUAAGUCUGAUGUGAAAGCCCCCGGCUCAACCGGGGAGGGUCAUUGGAAACUGGGGAACUUGAGUGCAGAAGAGGAUAGUGGAAUUCCAAGUGUAGCGGUGAAAUGCGUAGAGAUUUGGAGGAACACCAGUGGCGAAGGCGACUGUCUGGUCUGUAACUGACACUGAGGCGCGAAAGCGUGGGGAGCAAACAGGAUUAGAUACCCUGGUAGUCCACGCCGUAAACGAUGAGUGCUAAGUGUUAGGGGGUUUCCGCCCCUUAGUGCUGCAGCUAACGCAUUAAGCACUCCGCCUGGGGAGUACGGUCGCAAGACUGAAACUCAAAGGAAUUGACGGGG
rnacentral:rRNA from 1 species